AGUCUGCGUGGGUAAAAGAAUAUUUGUGAUAUUUUUGUUUUCUAUAUUGAUAAAUAAAUACGAAAAUAAAAUAAAAUAAAUAUAUAAAUGUUAGAGAGUACGCGUAGGUAAGAAUAAAAUGAUUUCGAGAUAUUGGAGAGGAAUAAUCGAAAGUAUCUCGAAAGGUAAAGUAAGAAGUAGAUGUGGUAGAUGUUCUCAGGAUGGAUAAAGAUGAUUCGGGGAUGAGAACGAGCUAGAGGGAGGGUCUGUACGAUUCGUGAUACGCCCCGCGUUAUAUGCUUGCGCUUCUUCGAACGAACCGUUCAGUUAGAUUCAAGCCGUGAACGAGGUAACUUCUGUGACGCGAAAUCAUUUUAACAACAAAAGCUUUAUUUCCUUUAACAACAAACUCUCCUCGUUAUUUGAUUAUUCAGAAGAAAAUUAAAAAAAGAAAUAAAAAGAAAAGAAAGAAAUAAAGAAAAAUCGUAAUUGUUCUCACGUUACGAAACAUAUCAUCCCCUGCUUCGAUCAGAAUUUAAUCUCGUUCGACCUAAUUGAUAUUGACCUUGAACGUUAUUUCGGUUCUUUAUAGUGAAAUAUUUCUACGUAAGGUUUAAGUGAGUUUUCCCCAGUGACGUUGUAAACACACGGUAGAUAAAAGAAAAGAAAAAAGAGAGAGAGAGAGAGAAAGGAAAAAAAGAAAGAAAGAACGAAUAUAAUAAUUCACCCCCGAGACAGCAUGAAUCCCAAACUUCGUUCAUCUUUUUACUCGGAGUUUUAGAAUUGAGACAAUGUGUACGUGAUGUUACACCGAAGCGCGUCGUCGCGACGCCGUAGGGUGUCACGAAGCGUUGCAAAUUCGAAUCAUCCUGCCGGUGCAUCACCAACGAUUGCUAACAGAGGACGACGUGCAAGCGUAGCUACCGAAAAGCCGGAUCUUUUGACUCAAAUCAGUCCCUGCGGAACUAUGGAAAGGCAGAAAUCACCAAGAGGAAGCGUCGUACCAAAUAAAGCCCUCGACGUUCAAAAUGA
rnacentral:lncRNA from 1 species